rnacentral:rRNA from 1 species
GGAAAGGCCCUUGCUUGCAGGGGUACUCGAGUGGCGAACGGGUGAGUAACACGUGGGUGAUCUGCCUUGUACUUCGGGAUAAGCCUGGGAAACUGGGUCUAAUACCGGAUAGGACCAUGCUUUAGUGUGUGUGGUGGAAAGUUUUUUCGGUACAAGAUGAGCCCGCGGCCUAUCAGCUUGUUGGUGGGGUAAUGGCCUACCAAGGCGACGACGGGUAGCCGGCCUGAGAGGGUGUACGGCCACAUUGGGACUGAGACACGGCCCAGACUCCUACGGGAGGCAGCAGUGGGGAAUAUUGCACAAUGGGCGCAAGCCUGAUGCAGCGACGCCGCGUGAGGGAUGACGGCCUUCGGGUUGUAAACCUCUUUCGCUAGGGAAGAAGCCAUGUUGUGGUGACGGUACCUGGACAAGAAGCACCGGCUAACUACGUGCCAGCAGCCGCGGUAAU